rnacentral:misc_RNA from 1 species
GGCGAGGCCUUUUCAAAGCAAGGCACCAUAACCUAAAAUUUCCUAAAUUAUAUUUAGAAAGCAUUUAAAAUAUGCUUUGAAAAAGCCUCGCCUUGCCUCUCACCGAAGGCCAUAGGGCACCCCGUACCCUGUCACCUUAAUGUCGUCUUUCACCAUGAUAACACUAACAAUAACACUCAGAACCUGACUUCAAAAUUUUAAAAGUGACUGCCAGGCAAAACUAAAGCAUGUCUAGGAAACAACUGUUUCAUAUGUAAAACCCUAAAAUAUCCAUUAUCAAUUAAAAAAAUGAUCGAUUAAACCAUAAUCCACUUCAUCCUUUCUCCACAUCAUAUGUAGCGUAUCAAUAAUCUUACCAUUUUUGUCAAUAUUGACAUUGGAAAUGUAUAAUCUAUAAACCUAAAUAACAUCUAUCAUUUGAAAAAGUGAUUGAUCAAACCAUACUCUACAUCCCCUCUCCACAUGGUAUUUUGCAUAACAAUAAGCUUAACAUUUUUUUUCUUUUGGAAACUCUAAACAUCAAAUGUUCAACUACUCUCAUUCUCUAGCUAUUAAGUCCAGAUUGCCCUUCAACAAUACAAUAUAUUUAAUGCAAAACGAAUACUAACAGCUAAUAAUACACAAUUCUCAACAUUAUGUUCGGUUGGAUAUGUGCAUGCUCUUCAAUCUCUGCAACUAUUAGAAUUCGUAUAACUGUUCCAGUGGUAUGUUAAUUUGGUGAUUGGGAUAAUUGAACAUGAAAUUCUUUACCCAAGAUUCUUAACAACCUCCUCCGAUAAAAAAAAAAGGACUUAACUAUAAUUUAAGUAUUACCAAUCAGUUAAAUCCACUCCACACUCGACCAGCAAACUAUAAUUUAUCAAGCCCACACUCUUCACAAGGACACUAACUAAAAUAUACUUUUGCAGUUCUACACUAUUUAUAAUAGUCUAGAAGCAAAAGGGUCACUCACUUGAUUCAAAAGUUUCUGCAC